AAGAGGCAAAGAGAUAUUUUUAAUAAUAAAAAUAAUAAAAAAUGUUUUGGUGUUUCUCAGUAACAAUUACAGCAAGAACCUAUAAUUAAGUCAGAAUUACCAGAAUGCUCUUCCAGUGUAUAUAGAACACUGAAAUAUUUGAGCUUUGAAAAGCCAUGGCUCCUGAAAAUCUUGUUUCAAUGUUUGGAGUUGACACAACUCAGUGAGAAUUUUCCUCAAGGAAACUGUAUAUGGUUAUAUCUCACAUACAGGUUCCCUGAAUUGUUUUUCCUGAAAAAAACUAAUUGUUGAAAAUGUGUGAUAUGAGGAUAGUCUUUGAGUAAUCAUUGCCUAGAUAUGAUGGAAAAAAGUGCAUACAGACAUCCUGUAGUCCUUAUUUCAGCCUCCCAUUGCACUGAUGUACCAGUAAAUGGGUAUAGAAAUAGCUUUUCUUGAACUUUGUCAGACAAAUGCAAAUAUGGCAUAAAAUCUUUUCUUCAGAGUUAGGUUCAUACUUGUGAACUGCUUAACUCCAAUUUCCUUGUUCAAUAUUUCUUUGCUAGAAAUAAAGUGGAUUCCAUCAGCGAGCUAAGAUAUAAAUCUUGAAUGACUGAGAACUUUGGGAACUGGUUGGAAUAAUGGAUUGAAUGUCACCUGUGUAUGCAAAGUUGUCAGAAUCUGUCAAUCUUCAGGAAGGCUUUGAGGUGGGCAGCUUUUGCAAUGGAAUGUGGAAGCAAUUUAUGUGAUGGAACUGGCAAGAUAAACACCUGAGAUGACAUGGAGACACUGGGGAGCUUUGAAGGCAAGUUAUAUAAAUGUGAACUAAAAAUGAAAGAGGGGAAAUUGAAAUGAAGAUAAAAAGGUUUUAAAUACCUGAGGGCAAGGUAAAAGGAAAGCAAAGGCCUCAGAUUCAUUGCUGUGUAUUCUAGGACCCAAGUCAUAUGAUCAGAGUGAUUUUUCUUUUCUAAAACCAAAAGAAUAUGUCAAUGUAAAUUUUUUUUAUGGUAGAGGAAACAUGCUUGAGGUUUUCUCUAUCACUCAUUUGCAAAUGGCAGUGCUCAAAUAGUUAUGAAAAUUAAUAGAACAGGGUGUUUUAUUUGUUAGUUCACCUAGGGAAGAGUCAUAUCCUCCAGAGAAAAUACAUUUUUUUCUUUCACCUGGUGGAGCUAACUUUAAACUCUCUUUAAAAGACCAUGGGAGACUCAUGGAAAGCAUUAAUGUAAUGUUGCCAAGCAUGUGCCUUUUUUCUCUUUCCUUCUGCCACUGAAGUUUUGGGUUGCUGCAAUUUCAGUUUGCCUCUUUGCUCUGCUAAGGUUGCUGUCAUUGGUUCACCACGUUCCUUGGGUAUUUGCUGCACAUUUUACUGGCAAGAGCAUGAAUAGAAAUAUAAUUCUGACAUUAAUUAGCUGAGAAUGUGUGCAUCGUUGGAGAAGCAAUAUUUCCAGAAAAAAUCAUUCAAUUGAGGUUGUUUUUCAGGGUCUCUCCUGACUACUGGAUUUAAACACUGAAAAAGAAAAGGGAGCUGUGACAUCUAAAGGUGAUAAAUAAAUAAAUAAAUAGAUAAAUAAAUAAAGACUGGAGGGGGUUUGUUGAGGGUGUCUCACUUUGGCAGGACACUCACUGGGCUCUGGAGGUACCAUCAGAGGCAGAAACUAAAUAAAGCAGCUCUGCUAUGAAUGACUCCACAGGAUAUCAUGAAACAGUGAUCAAAUUGUGACAAAAAGCACAAUGACAUGCUUAUUUAUACUCUUAUUUCACUAGAGGAAGUGAAGAUAUUUAUGAAUGAUUACUUAGUCAAAUACCCUGGUUCUCACAAUAGGUUUCUAAUUUCUCUUACUUGCCAUAAAAUAGGGAUGACAAAAACCCAAGAAAUUAAAGGAUGCCACAUCCCUUCAGAGUGAGGGAAAGGCAGUAAGCUGAAAGUAGAGCUGUGUUGCCCAUGGGGAGCGUGCUGUCUGUCUCUUGAGAGUCUCUUUGGGAGCCUCUUUGGGAGUCAGCUUGACCAUGGGCUGGACAUUUGUCCAAGCACUCCAUUGAUUUAGAUUACUGAAUGCUUGAGACUCGUGGUCUCAAAAAUAGAGUUGCAGAAACCCUGAUAUAAACCUACUGAAAGA